rnacentral:rRNA from 1 species
UACAGAGGGGGCAAGCGUUAUUCGGAAUUAUUGGGCGUAAAGGGCGCGUAGGCGGCUUUGCAAGUGGCGGGUGAAAUCCCUCGGCUUAACCGAGGAACUGCCUGCCAGACUGUGAGGCUUGAGACCGGGAGAGGUGAGUGGAAUUCCCCAAGUAGAGGUGAAAUUCGUAGAUAUCGAGAGGAACACCGGUGGCGAAGGCGGCCUUCUGGACAGUGACUGACGCUGGAGACGCGAAAGCGUGGGGAGCAAACAGG